rnacentral:tRNA from 1 species
GUUUUCGUAGUGUAGUGGUUAUCACGUUCGUCUCACACGCGAAAGGCCCCCGGUUCGAACCCGGGCGAAAACA